GUUCGGUCCUCCUAAUUAAAGUAAAGCACCAUCUUUUAAGAUGAAGAUUUUACAUUUGAAUGCAUUUUUAAUGACUUUGAAUUUUUUUGGUGUUCAAGCUCAAAUAAAGCUUCAAGAGUCAGAUCCUGUAACUUUGCUGCCAGGGCAGUCACACCAGUUGUCGUGUAAAGCCUCUGGGUUUACAUUUGGUAGCUAUCGUAUGCACUGGGUUCGUCAGCCCCCUGGUAAAGGAUUGGAAUGGGUGGCAGGAAUCGAAUAUGAUGGCAGCAGCCAGUGGUAUGCAACAUCUGUUAAGGGCCGAUUUACCAUCAGCAGAGACAAUUCCAACAGCCUAGUGCACUUAAAGAUGAACAGCCUGCAGACUACAGACUCAGCUGUGUAUUACUGUGCGAAACCCACAGUGACAUAA